rnacentral:tRNA from 1 species
UUUUAAUUGAAACCAAAUAGAGGUAAAUCACUGUUAAUGAUUAAAUUAGGAAUAUUCCUCAAUUAAA